ACCGCGAUCACCUCCCCGAUCUCCUCCCCCUUUCCUAUCGCGUCCGCCCGAGCGUCGUCAAUCCACGCGCCCCGAGCCCCUUUGGACGAGAGCGGCCAUGCCCCGAACCUCUCCCUUCACGACAGCGAUCGCGCGCCCCGAUCCCCUCCCUGGCUGUCCGCGAGCGCCGUGAUCUCGGCCGCGGCCGCAACCUCUCGAACGUCGUCGCAACCGCCACAGCAACACCCUCUCUGGACGAUAGCACCGUCGAGACCGCCGCCACCUCCCUAGACGACGGCCUCGGGUCCUCCAAGGUCACGCCCUCACCACCCGCUGGCCUCGCUCCUCCAAGGUUGCGCUCGCCGCCGGCCAGCCUCGCUCCUUGCACGUCCCCAUUCUUCGCCCUCCCUUUUGCACGCCAUCGCCCUCGCCGUCGCACUCCACAGUCGUCCUCUCCAAGAGACCAAGACCCCAGUGACCGAGUCAAUCUCGUUGUUCGUGUCUCCACAGCAAGGGGAACUCACAGAUGCACACGCCGAGACCACGAACUGCCGCUACACCGACGCGUUGGCCAGCCGUUCUGCCUCCCGUGCCGCCCGCACUUGGUCCGCGGUUGAGGCGAGCGGCCGGCCAGGCUCGUGCGGCAGGGGCAAGUAGGCAGAGCGGAGGUUUAGGGUGGCGGCGGCGGCACCAGCGCUCCCCUCCCGCACCGCGCGAGAAGAAGAGGCCACCCUCUAGAUCUCCGCUCGACCCCAGCUAGGCCGCCGGCGGCGGCUGGGCAGCAAAAUCCAGCACACAGUAGAGCAAGGGCUUCUCCAAGUCUGCACUGAAAGCCACUGGGAUCUUAGCCUCGCUCCUGGACAAUUUCCUCAUCUUGGAAGCACGAAGAUAACUGGCAGAAAGGAACAAAGAUAUGCAGUACAUGACUCCAUUAAGCUAGAGUUGGUAACGAAGGUCCACAAACCAACAUUCAGGAGGUCCACAAAUCAACAUUCAGGCCAUCAAGCGGUGCCCUCACGAAGCAAUUGGCUGCGCCAUGACAGAUUCAUUAUAUCAUUACUCGCUGGGCAACGCAAGCUAUGCGACAAUAUUUCAUCCUCGCUGGAGGAGCUACAUCCCUGAUCUGGUCCUCACUCAAUGCCUUUCGUAAGAGUGCGAAAGCAAGAAGCCAUCUUUCUAUUGGUUUUAUGAUGGCCACUGGAAAGAUUCUUCUCAAGGGAGGAAAAUUGCACUUUCUUUAUUAGGAUCAAGUGGCUACUAUCAGCAUUCAUUAUUUUAUUUAAGAUCAUUUAAUGGAGGUAUCGGCUCAAGAUUGAGGAGGCAGAAUGGAUCAUGUCAGCAGCAGCACAUUGACAUGUUUUUAGUGUAAGCGCCGAGUAGCACCAAGAUGUUUUCCAUUUACUGUUGUCUUCCUGCAGGCUGCAAGGAUGGCUGGUUGGCUCCAUUAUUCAAGUGAAAAGAGGUCUCCAAAAAGAAGACAGGUUGGAUUUGAUCUUGUUCUUGGUUCAAAUGGCAAGUGGUUCCGAACCCGCAGUAUUGAGGUUGUUCGAUCUGUAAAGUUACUUGAUGAGGCUAAAUGUUACGGCUCAAGCUGCGCAAUGCGUAGGAAUGGAAGGUGGUAGGACGAGGCUUGAACUGCCGGCGGUGAUCAGGCGGCACCGAUGAACUGGAGUGGCAAGAGCUAGACGGAGAACAGGGCUGGGUGCCCAAGGGGGAGAGAAAGUCUCAAUCCCAGGCUGAUCCUCUUCCUCUGCAAGUGUUCUGCCUUCAUAGGCGAUUACAAUCAUGCAUGCAGCUAACACCACAAAAUGCUCUCGUGCUUUGACAAACUCAAACCUAUUCAAACUACUAAUCCUAGAGAACCGGAGAACAGAUCCUGGAGAACUGGCAUGUGCCGUGUGGCUGCUCCUCAGCCACGGGUGUGCUGCCGGCACUGAUAUGUUCGCCCUGCAGCAUGCGCCUAGCCACUUCGGCGUUCAUAGUGGAGACCGGUCAUAACACUGAAUCUCGGAGCACAUCAGAAUUACUACACUAGCUCACUGAAAAUGAUAAAUUGGACUAUUUUGGAACCUUAUCUUUAUCCUUCAGACUUCGACUAUUCAUGCUCUGAUGGAAUUGGAUGACAGCAUUUGGAGCAACGUUGGUGGGAAGGUAAACAAGAUGCUGUCAUAACUCAUACGUGAUGGCAAAAUUAUAUCUUUCAGCUUUUUUUGAGAGGAUAAUUUCAGUAAGAUAUGGCAAUUGAGUUGGUAAAAUAAUUUGUAGCAAACAACUACAUGUAUCAUAUAUCAUGGAUUAAAUCAAAAUGACCAAGGGCUACCCUAAUUAUGGAAAUUUAUGGACCCAGGUUGUUAUUGGAUAUUUUUUGUAUGCUCACUUUAUUUGUCUUAAAUUUUCUUAGAAGCAUUUGACAUAUCACCAAAGACAGAGUUAUCGAUAUUGAAUUGUUGGUCGAAGAAUCAAUUUUGUUUUUGGUUACAUCGUUGCAAAAUUGCAAAGUUGUACAUUCGACUUGCUGUUAUUCUAGGUUCAACUUGCCGUUUGGUAAUUAUGGCAAAAACAUUACAAUUUCGACUCUCAUAAUUGGAAAUGGGAAUUUUGACUCUCAUGAUAGGUACGUAGAAUCUGAGAGCCUAUGAUGUCGCACUUAUGAUUGUAUUAAUUUUACAAACUUUCCCUUUUGGAUUAAAUAAUGCUUUAAUAUUGAUAUUUAAUUUCAUAAAAUUGUUACAUAUCGUGCGAUCCGUAUGUUUUUAGUACGAAAGUUUAGAUAUCCCGUAGCAACGUACGGGCAUGCUACCUAGUAAAACAGAAAAGAAAAAAAGAUCUUAUCUCGUAAAUUUCAUUCCCAGAAAACCCAAAACCCCACUAACGAAGCAAAGAGCUCCGCUAAGCAAACGAAGAGCCUUGCUAAGCAUGAGAAGAAAGACAAAUGCUAAGCAAGGAGCCCACGUUUAUAUUUACAUGUUAGACAAGAAGAUAUAACAAGUUGAAAAAAGUGUAUUAGGAUGCCAAACUGUUAGACAAGGCUUUUCCUCAUUUUGCUAAAAAAAAUUAUGGAUGGAAAAAUCAUUUGCCAAAAUGUUAGAGAUUGCCACAAAAACCACGGGAUAUCUCAUGACUCUACAAAGGACCUUAGAAGAGGAGCUGAGCUACCUAACAGAUGUACAGAUAUCCUUACAGUGUAAAUAUUAGCUUCCCAAAACAGUACUCUAGUGAUACUUCAACAGUACUUUUCAGCGAAGAACUAGAUUUUCCUCACAGAAUGUUAGCAUAAGCCAAAUUUCAGUGAAACAUAGCCAAUUGACUCUAGGGGCAUCAUGUCAUUUUCUAGCACUAGACACUAACACGACUGAGUAGCAUUGCUUGAUACUACAAUACAAGUGUACAACUGCCUAACACAAUGUGGUCAUCCACUGAUACAGUGGUACGCUCAAAACAGGGCGCAGCAAAGCCUCACCGAUUUUUCUAGUGCCAAUCGAAAUCGACUACAGAACAAAAUCAAUAGGCUUAACAGAAACAAGAUAUUCAGUCAAACCAGACGUUGUAUGUAACACUGAGGGUUGGUCCAUAGUUCAUACAGUUCCAGAUUAAUAACAUAUAGGAGCCAAACAAACCAUGACAAA